CCCCCUUUAUCUAAUCUGCUAAGCCUUUAAUAGCCUUUAAUAGCCUUUUAGCAGCUAAUCCCCUAAGCCUUUAAGCCUUUAAUAGCCGCUAAACCGCUAAUAGCGCUAAUCCGUUAAGCCGCUAAUAGGGUUGCUUCGCAAGACAAAAAAACCGCUAGACGAAGACUCUCGCGGAACGGAUUAAUUUCGUCUUGCGAGGCACCACUGUAUAAUG